GUGAGGGGCAUAACAGUGUGUACAGGGCUUUAGUGUGCAAAACAAAAACUUGUGCAAACUGCAAAUAAAAAAUGCAGUCCAACCAAGUCCAAACAAUGUGCAAAAAUGCAAUCACGCUGUGAACAUAGCAGCAAUAUGUUCUUUCUUCAAUGUGCAAAACAACAAGGGCAGAAGAUUUAAUAGAUGGAACGAUGAAAAGAUGACUGAAGGUCUGGCUGCUAUCAGUUAGCUCAGCCUUGAAUCAACAAAUUAAACUAAUAAAAAGUCCAAAUGCUGCUGAAGUUACCUGUGUUAGUUUUCUUGUCCACUGCUGGUUUGCUGAUGGUGAGAACAACAGGCUUCCCUUCACCCCCAGUCAAUGAAGUCAGGAUUUUUGGAGGAUCUAUGGGUGUCAUGACCCAAAAGUCAAAUUUACAUUAAAGAUUUACGAGGUAACUUGGAUUUGGAAGGUGUUCCUGGUCGGCAUAAAGAGUAACCAAUCAGUUAUAAUAAAAUCAAUUGCGAACUUAGGAUAUAUUUUGAACAGAAAUAGGGUUAAUUAUCAGAAAUUCAGAAGCAGUAUUUAAUUCAGACUUUUAUGUUUCUUCUUUAGCUAAAACCACCAUGAGCACCUUAUUGAGCACUAAUGUUAUCAGCAUCUGCAUGCCUUGCUUUACUAUCGUUAUAUAACUCAUUUCUCAGAUUGACAGAUUGGGGGUUAUUUACGAAAGGCAAAUCCACUUUGCACUACAAGUGCACUGAAAGUUCAGCCGCUGUAGAUCUGAGGGGAAGAUCUGGAACGAGGAGAAGCUCUACUGAUUUUGUCAUCCAAUCAUGUGCAAGAUAAAAUGCUGUUUUUUAUUUUUCUUGUUGAUAUGUAUGAUUCCGUGCUAUGGAAUAUGUUUACUAGCAGGUGCUAUAUGUAUAUGUGUGUUGUUCCAAGGAAAAUUAAUUGAAUUGCAGCCUCUACCUGUUACUGCCACCUGGGGAAGUAAAAGUGUAGGGAAAAAAUAGUAGUAGAUGUCGUGCUAUUCUAUUGCAUUCCCAUAAAUAAACUAAAAAUGACACUUGUGGAAUAAAAAUAUGAAAAUGUAAAUAAUUUAAAUGAUUUUAAAGUGCAUACGUGCAAUGGUGCAAUGUGAAAAAUGUCACAAUAAAUGAUCAAUUUGUGCAAUGCAAAAAAGUGCAUAAAUAGUGCUAAUGCAAUCAAUUGUAAACAACUUUUGUAAUCACAUAAAAGUCCAUGUUGGCAGGUAAACCACAAAUCCUGAAUGUUCCCACAUGUGCUGAAUUAUAUAAUGCAUGCUUAGUGCCCAGUGAAAGUAACACUCUUCUUUCAGUAGGUGGUCACUGCACUUUGUGUCCCUGCAAAGCCUGCACUCACCGGAUAUUCCACCCCCUCUUGGGGUAUGAAGCCUUCACAGUUUAUGCCACUGUGUAGCACUCUGGCGAUUAAAACGUCCCUUGUGCUGCUGCUGUUUUUCAGUGUGGCUCAUGUACAGAAGAAAAAAGACCCAAAUAGUGUCUUAUCGUUUAUAAAAAGGUUUAUUGAUAAAACUUAAAAAGUGGGUACUCACAAUUUGGCAAAGUUAAAAAGGCAUUGAUGCUAGCAGGAAGUGUUAUGGCGUUCUGCUAUCUGUGCUCGACCAGUUUCGUGUGCUGACGUCAUCUGUACCCUAGUGUUAACCCCUUCCCUGCCAGUCAUAUUUAUACAGCA